GACGAACGCUGGCGGCGUGCUUAACACAUGCAAGUCGAACGGUAAGGCCCCUUCGGGGGUACACGAGUGGCGAACGGGUGCGUAACACGUGGGUGAUCUGCCCUGCACUUCGGGAUAAGCCUGGGAAACUGGGUCUAAUACCGGAUAGGACCACGCUCUGCAUGGAGUGUGGUGGAAAGCUUUUGCGGUGUGGGAUGGGCCCGCGGCCUAUCAGCUUGUUGGUGGGGUGAUGGCCUACCAAGGCGACGACGGUUAGCCGGCCUGAGAGGGUGUCCGGCCACACUGGGACUGAGAUACGGCCCAGACUCCUACGGGAGGCAGCAGUGGGGAAUAUUGCACAAUGGGCGCAAGCCUGAUGCAGCGACGCCGCGUGGGGGAUGACGGCCUUCGGGUUGUAAACCUCUUUCAGUACCGACGAAGCGCAAGUGACGGUAGGUACAGAAGAAGCACCGGCCAACUACGUG
rnacentral:rRNA from 1 species